rnacentral:rRNA from 1 species
AACCAGCACCUCAAGUGGUCAGGAUGAUUAUUGAGCCUAAAGCAUCCGUAGCCUGUUUUGUAAGUCUUCGGUUAAAUCCAUAAACUCAAGGGAUAGGCCGCCGGAGAUACUGCAGAGCUAGGGAGUGGGAGAGGUAGACGGUACUCGGUAGGAAGGGGUAAAAUCCUUUGAUCUAUUGAUGACCACCUGUGGCGAAGGCGGUCUACCAGAACAUGUUCGACGGUGAGGGAUGAAAGCUGGGGGAGCAAACCGG